UUUUUCUAUAAAGUAUAACAUACUAUUAUAAAAAUAUUAUCUCCAUUAACGGUUUAAAUUUCAACCUCUAAAGUAAUAUAUGUGCUAUCAACUAAUCUAAAUCUAUGGAACAAAACAAUAAUGAAUUUAGAUCUUCGAGAACAUAUCUUGUUCUUCUAAUCUACAGAGUAAAUGAAAAAAAGAAAAAAGAAAUAGAAAUAAAAAUAAAAAGAGUAUAGUUUAGUAAUUAUUGAUUACCUACUAAGCCAGCGCCAGUAGCAACGGUACGCUGUUCCCAUGUCUGGGUAUCCAUAGUCAGAUCUGAUCUCUCUCUCGCGCGCGCUCUCAGGACAGAAGGAUGAGGCUUGGGGAAUGGAUUUUCAAGCUUACUAACAAUGAAGCUUACCUCUCUCUCUCGCGCGCGCUCUCUCAGGAGCGGAAGAAAGCCAAAAGGGAAGUUCUGCGUCCUCACCUUUCAAUCGAGCAACUGCGUAAGGAAGGAAGGAAGGAUGGAUAGAUCUGAGAUGGAUAUCUCUCUCGCGCGCGCGACAGAAGGAUGAGGCUUACUAACAAUGAAGGGGAAUGUGGAUAGCGGAGGAAGUAAAGGUUCUCUCUUGGAGAUGGAGUGUGGAUAGGUUGAAGAUCUCCCCGUGUUUAUUUUACGAAUGGACUUGGGACCCGGGAAGUUGUUUCAAUCGCUAGUUUUUUACUGCUGGUGCUUGCCUUCUUUUUGUUUGGGUGCUGUGCUUCUUGUUGUGGGUGUGCUGUGGUGCUUUGUCCAGCUGCGUUUUUUGUUCUGCGUGGGUGUUGGUUGCAGUAUUGUUUUCCAGUUUGGUUGGGUGUUGGUUGUUGUUUCUAUUGUUUAGGCUUCUGUUUCCCUGUUAGCUUAGGAGUUUUUUGGUUGUAGGAGGCUUGUUUUCCUUUUGUUGUGGCUCCUGUUUCUUUUGCUGCUUUUUUGUAUCUUGCUCCCUUUCUUGGCAUGUCUUAUGCCAUGUUUUGUGAAUGAAUUUUGGGAAUGAAGGGUUAUGGACUUUAAGUUUUACUCUCUCAGUUUCUCAAUGAAGGGGAAUGAAUUUGAUUUUUAUGAACUUUAAGUUUCUCUCUCUCAGUUUCUCUCUGGUUAUGAACUUUAAGUUUUACUAGCUAGUACUAUUCUAUGAUGAACUGAGUAGAUUUUUAUUUUGAUUUUGAUUUUAGUCUCUUCCUCUGAAGAAUCAUUUUUAAUUUUUGUUUUUCCUUGUAUGUGUUAUCUAGUUUAAGCUUCAUAGCUUCCUCUGAAUAGAAAGAAUCAUUUAAUUUGUUUCAUGAUAUUGCUACUUUUUCUUCUACUCACCAAAUGUAAUCUCCAGCUAUUUUUGGUUGUUUGGUUGCUUUCACUUUCAUUUGCCCAGUUUAUGCUUUAAAUUUGUACGUACUAAUGGUACUAUGUCUUUCCUCAUAUGGAUUUCUACUCUUUUUUUAAAUAAAAAAUAAAAAAAUUCAAAACUAUUCGUAAAAAUUUAUGACUUUGAUAUUGACAAGAAUUUUGGAGUUUCAUACUACUACUACUAGUUUAUAGGUUCUGACUUCAAGUACAAAGUCAAAAGUCUCAUAUUGCUUUGACCUUAAUAUACUUUGUAUUUUUCAUCCCGUGAGUGACAUGACAUGGCAUAACUUACACUUGUUAAUUACUCUUGUUGCUCAAAGUCAAGAAUCUUAGUCAACUCUUAUAUACUGUACAGUACAUACUAGUAGUACAUACAUAUAUAGUGCAGUUUUUUAGAAUCUUAUUCUGAUAAUAAUAAUAAUCAUGAGUUGCCUCCUAGAAUCUGUUUAUUUCAACUUUUUAUAUUUUUUUUUUCUGAUUUUUUGUUUAUGAUUUUGAAGGAGGGAUAGUUUUAUCACCCAUGGAGCUUUUUGUGAUGCUUUGGCUGUGGAGAAUGCAAAAUCUCAUAAUCAAGCUGUUGGGAAAGCUAAUUGAGAAUCUGAUUCAAAGGUUUUGACUGAUGAUUUAUUGCCACCGGUGUGGGCGCUGACGCCGGCUCCUAUAACAACUCCUCAGUCAAAUAAGUGGUGUGUCCUCUGCUAUGGAGGUGUUAUUGUUUGUUUCUGUGAUCUUGGUGUGUGGUAUUUUUUGUCUGCUAUUGUUUUUUGUUGUGACUUGUUUUAGUGAGAAACAAGAUCAAGUGACAUGAGAUUCAGGGGAUGCUAAUUAAGUAAUGAAAUUAAUCACUUAAGAGGUGUUUUUUGUGUGAUUGUUGGAUCUAAAAUUAUGCAAUGGUUGACCAAGAAACUACAACUUUGUCCAGGGUUCAAGGAAAGAGUAAUCCAUAUGAUUCCUCCCUUGCUGCACAACUUUGCAUUCCAAUCAUAAAUGACCUACUGGUUGAGAUAAAAAACCAAAGCUACCAUGAACAAUGUUUUUUGAAUAUAGAUGUGCCAAACAAUGUUACUAACCAUAAGAUGUGUUGUUGAAAGCUUACCUUUUGAGAUCAAUGAUCUACCAAAUGUUUGCUCCAUGGUUGACCCUUAUUCUGAUAGUUUGAAGGAUGCAGAUGCAGAUGCAGUGGUACCAAUUGCAAAGCACAAGUCAAUUUUGGUUUUGGUUAUUAUAAUUUGUUCAUACAUUUGGUUUUUCCUUUUUUAUGGCUUUGAAAUGUACAUUGUUGUUUGACCUCUUGAUUAAAUGUAUCUUUAGAGUGCUGAAUCAAUACUAUCAUUGAUGCUAAUGAAGAGGUUUUUAAAUCAUUACAGGUUCAUGUUGAUGUGAUGCAGUGAGCUAGCUACAAGAAAAGGUAAGGAGUCUACUGCUUUGCUUCUUUGAAAAAUGAAGUUUAGAGAAAGAAUUAUUAAAAUACUAUUGUCCUUAUUUCAAAACUUUGAAUUUUUUUUAAAAAAAUUAUUAUUAUGAUUCUGUUAGUACCUUUCUGGGAAAACAAACUGAACUAGGAAUGUUAAGCCUUCCAAGUUGAAAGCAUGAAAGUUCAAGAAAAGCUUUUUCAGAGGUCUGCAACUUAUGUUAUGUUAUUGUUAUAUUAAGUUGUAUAGGAAGUUGGAAAUAGAACCAUGGCUCAAGAGAAUGAUGGCUGCCAAGUUUCCACAUUGAAUGACUUGCUUUUAUUUUGAAAAUUUGGAUUGAUUUAAUUUCUUAUUGAAAUUUUUGUUGGAGCAAGAAAUGAUGCUUCUGGAGUUUAUGCACUUGCUUUUAUGAGGUGUAUGAUUAAUGUUUGUUCUUGAAAUGUAAUUUAUAGAUAGAUACCAUAAGAACUGGAAUUGGCACUUUGGAAGCAAGAGUAUUAGUUAUUUUUUA